CUGGGCUGAGAAUUGCUGCCAGGGAAUGGGACUGUUACACAGUUAAGCCAUCGACACUGCUACACCAAUGCCUUCAGCCUUAUUUAAUGCACAAGAUGUAACUCUGGGUCUUCCUUUCCUGUGGCGGUCCUCAUGAGAGACAGUUUCAUCAUAGCGCUUGAUGGUUUUUGCAACUGCACUUGAAGACACAGGACACCGGGCGGGACACCAGUCCCGAAGAACUAUUGGAUAUCAGAGCGACGUCAACUUACCAGCACUACGACCAGGAAAACUACUUUCCCAAAGCGGAUCCUUCGUCCUCACCACCCAGGGCAUUUGAACUGAUCCCAGAGGCCGACCCAAAACAACGA